AGCUUUGCGCAGUGGCAGUAUCGUAGCCAAUGAGGUUUAUCCGAGGCGCGAUUAUUGCUAAUCUGAUUCUCCUGCUCUACUCAUAAAGACCCUUCUGAUUACAUUGGGCCCACCUGGAUAAUCCCCAUCUUGGGAUCUUUCAUCGAAUUUCAUCUGCAAAGUCCCUUUU
rnacentral:snRNA from 1 species